rnacentral:rRNA from 1 species
UACAGAGGGGGCGAGCGUUGUUCGGAAUUACUGGGCGUAAAGGGCGCGUAGGCGGCCAACUAAGUCAGACGUGAAAUCCCUCGGCUCAACCGGGGAACUGCGUCUGAUACUGGAUGGCUUGAAUUCGGGAGAGGGGAUGCGGAAUUCCAGGUGUAGCGGUGAAAUGCGUAGAUAUGGGGGAGGAACACCGGUGGCGAAGGCGGCCACCUGGACGGUAACUGACGCUGAGACGCGAAAGCGUGGGGAGCAAACAGG